rnacentral:rRNA from 1 species
GACGAACCGUCCAACCGUUGUUCGGAAUCACUGGGCUUAAAGGGCGCGUAGGCGGGCUGCCAAGUCCGGGGUGAAAUCCUCCAGCUUAACUGGAGAACUGCCUCGGAUACUGGAAGUCUCGAGGAGGGUAGGGGCACGCGGAACUGUGGGUGGAGCGGUGAAAUGCGUUGAUAUCCAUAGGAACCCCGGUGGCGAAGGCGGCGUGCUGGACCCUUUCUGACGCUGAGGCGCGAAAGCCAGGGGAGCAAACGGG